rnacentral:rRNA from 1 species
UGCGCCUUGCCAGCCCGCUCAGAAACUUAAAGGAAUUGACGGGGGCCCGCACAAGCGGUGGAGCAUGUGGUUUAAUUCGAUGAUACGCGAGGAACCUUACCUGGGCUCAAAUGUAUGUUGACGUAUUCUGAAAGGGAUACUUCUUCGGACAAUAUACAAGGUGCUGCAUGGUUGUCGUCAGCUCGUGCCGUGAGGUGUCGGGUUAAGUCCCAUAACGAGCGCAACCCCUAUCAUUAGUUGCCAUCAGGUCAAGCUGGGGACUCUAAUGAAACUGCCUACGCAAGUAGUGAGGAAGGUGGGGAUGACGUCAAAUCAGCACGGCCCUUACGGCCUGGGCUACACACGUGCUACAAUGGUCGGUACAAAGGGUUGCCAAGCCGCGAGGUGGAGCUAAUCCCAUAAAACCGAUCGUAGUCCGGAUCGCAGUCUGCAACUCGACUGCGUGAAGUCGGAAUCGCUAGUAAUCGUGAAUCAGAAUGUCACGGUGAAUACGUUCCCGGGCCUU